AAAGUUAUAAUAUACGGAUGUUAGAAAAUUUCACAAUUAGAUGUUAUGGAAUGGAAGACUCUACAAACUGUGGAAGGAUAGGCUUAUAAUCGGUGUUUGAUAAGAGGGGUACAUUGAUGGAUGUCGAUAAGAAUGUGGGGUCACACCAACCAGCUGGAUUUUUUCAAUGUAUUUUUUUUAAAUUUUUAGGUUUUUCCCUUUUGUUUUGAGAAUUAUUUUCUUGAAAAUAAAAAUAAAAUAAAAUCAAGGAAGAAAGGUGAAAAAGAAAGGUUUUUAUAGUGCGAAGGCCCAUCUUGAUGGAAGGUUUGAAACGACGGAUGCAUGCAUUUGUGAACCCUGAAAGUAUAGAUUAUAUCACACAAACGGGUAUCACACAAGUUAUAUAU
rnacentral:lncRNA from 1 species